CCCUGCACUGGUGAUACAAGGCCUGAAGGGGGCACAAGGGGUCGUGACAGCACUCAUCAGUAACUGUGUGUGUUUGUGUGUGUGUGUGUGUGUGUGUGUAGGCCAUGUUGUCGGGCUCGUUCUGGUACAGUGACUUCAGCCUGAGUCAGCUGCGGGCCCCUCCUAACCCACUGAAGGCCCUGGCCCUCACCCAGUUGAAGAUCCUGCCUCACCUGGAUCGACUACUGCAACACCUGGACGACACACACGGCCAGCACAGCUCAGGUACACACACACGCACACGUACACGCACACGCACACUCACACUCACACUCACACUCACACUCACACACACGCACACUCACACUCACACGCACACACACGCACACUCACACACGCAUGCAGGCAUGCACACACAUACACGCACACACACACACACACUCCCACGCACACACACACACACUCACUCACACACACGCACACACACACGCAUGCAGGCAUGCACACACAUACACGCACACACACUCACACACACGCACACACACACACACACGCAUACCGGCAUGCACACACAUACACUCACACACACACACACACGCACACAUGCACGCACACACACAAGCAUGUAUUUGAUGAGUGUGUGCAUGUGUUUAGUACAUUUCUGUGUUUUUGUAUAUAAAGGCCUGUCAGUCAAGCAGACGCCUGGAGGAGUAGAGAACUGUUCCCGAGAGUGGACUGCCUCAGUCUCUGUUGUCAAGGGAGUCUCACCUCAGUCCCUGAAGGAGCAGAUUAAGUCCCGCCCAUCAGAAGAGCAAGACGGACCAUUGGUCAAGGAGCGACAGGGGAAGAGUCCAACCAAUCACAAUGCAGACCUGCUGACUGUGAGGGAUUGCGCUCUGCCCCGCCCCAUCAGUAUUCCUGUGCUGACAGGUCAGCCCCACCCUUCUGCUUUGAUCACUGUGUGUGUGUGUGUGUGUGUGUGUGUGUGUGUGUGUUUAAUCCACCAUCAAAACUAUGGUGCGCUUCAUUUGAUCAACACAUGGUGCAUGCAAGAGGGAUUUGGAACUGCCAUCACAUAGGCGCGAAAAAGCGCACUGCCACCAUACAGCCACUGGGUGGUGCUAAAAAGUAGCAAAACGGAGCAGCAGUGAGAGGCCUUUGUUCCCUGUGAGCUGGAAGCGUUGUGUUGUGAUCCCUCACAUCUGCUUUCACUGAACCCCCAGUGGCACCCGUCUGGGCAGGCCAGAGCAGGAAGUCUUGUGAUCUUCCAGCAUUCUUUAAGCAUUCCUGGGAAUGGUCUCUCCCACAGACUCCUUUUCUUCCUCUUUGGGAACUUCUAUUGUAUGUGUACAGACAACCCGAUGUAUUCGCACUUUAAUUCCGAGGUAAUGACAUUCUCACAGGCAUGGCCACGCCUGCUCCCAGCCAGAGAGUUUUUAUAGAGGCUUUGGUGUGUGUGUGUGUGUGUGUGUGUGUGUGUGUGUGUGUGUGUGUGUUAUAGAGGCUUUGGCAUCUGCCUGUGCUAUUUGAAGCCCUGGUAACCGGUUUGUGUGAUUGGUGUUGUUGGUGUUAGUGAAACUGUGUGGUGUGUGUGAGUGUGUGUGUGUGUGUGUGUGUGUGUGUGUGUGUGUUUGGUGUGUUUGUCCUGAAUGUUGUGUUUCAUGUGUUAUGCAGACAACAAACUA
rnacentral:lncRNA from 1 species